ACAUAAGUAAGCAAGGGAAACAUUUAUGGCUUUGGGAUGAGACUGUACGGUAUCAGCUUGUUGGUGAGGUAAUGGCUCACCAAGGCAAUGACGCCUAACUGGUUUGAGAGGAUGAUCAGUCACACUGGAACUGAGACACGGUCCAGACUCCUACGGGAGGCAGCAGUGGGGAAUAUUGCACAAUGGAGGAAACUCUGAUGCAGCAACGCCGCGUGGAGGAUGACACAUUUCGGUGCGUAAACUCCUUUUAUAUGAGAAGAUAAUGACGGUAUCAUAUGAAUAAGCACCGGCUAACUUCGUGCCAGCAGCCGCGGUAAUACGAGGGGUGCAAGCGUUACUCGGAAUCACUGGGCGUAAAGAGCAUGUAGGCGGGUAGAAAAGUCAGAAGUGAAAUCCUAUAGCUCAACUAUAGAACUGCUUCUGAAACUCUUUACCUAGAGUAUGGGAGAG
rnacentral:rRNA from 1 species